GCUCCCGUAGUUCAAUGGAUAGAACGUCGGUUUCCGGAGCCGAAGAUGGCAGUUCGAAUCUGUUCGGGAGUACCA
rnacentral:tRNA from 1 species